rnacentral:rRNA from 1 species
CAGCAGCCGCGGUAAUACGUAGGGCGCAAGCGUUGUCCGGAAUUAUUGGGCGUAAAGAGCUCGUAGGCGGUCUGUCGCGUCUGGUGUGAAAUCCCGAGGCUCAACCUCGGGCUUGCAUCGGGUACGGGCAGACUAGAGUGCGGUAGGGGAGACUGGAAUUCCUGGUGUAGCGGUGGAAUGCGCAGAUAUUAGGAGGAACACCGAUGGCGAAGGCAGGUCUCUGGGCCGCAACUGACGCUGAGGAGCGAAAGCAUGGGGAGCGAACAGGAUUAGAUACCCCAGUAGUCCCUGUCUCUUAUAC